UUUGGCUCCUAAAAGUAACAGCAAAGAACAGAGAAGAUGGUCAAGCUACAGUUUGGAGUGUCUGAACAUUUCUUAAGACCAAGAGUAGUUCAUGACAAUCUUAAGGCAUUUUGCAUUGCUAUGGUGUAUAUGCCUUCUAUCUCUCCACAGGAAGAGCAACUAAAGAAAAAGACUGCGCUCUAUAUUUAGGCUGACACCAGGACAAUGAUGAAGAAAGAGCUACAAGUCAAAGCCUGAGCUUUGCACCCUCCGCCUACCUAUGUAUUCAGUCCAGGGAAGAUACAAAGUCUCUUCCUUGUAGGGAUUACGAAGAAGCAGGUACAAGUGACAAAUCAAAGAGCAAGGGGGACUCCCCGGGGACUGCCACCUUGCCUUGAGUCUCCAACAUGGCUGGCAUCCCUGGACGGUAGAAAUUACAUCUUGCACAUCAUUUAUUUCCAAAGGACUUGGCCAUGCAAUAUUCCCCAGCUGUUCUCAUCCACACAGAACUGGCUCAUCUUCAAAGACAAUAUCAUUCCUUCUCUUGAAUUUGGGACGUGGGUCAGUCCUGGGAACAAGAGAUGGCUUGAGCAUGUUUGGAUCCAUGUCUUCCAGCAGCCAUGGGAAUCAACUGCAGACCCUUUGAACAUGACAUGCCACUCAAUUUUUUUGGUGUGAUGGAAAAUCCCACACCCCCAUAAUGGCCCUGUCUCCAACCCUUCCACCCUCACGUUGUCUCUCAAUCCUUGAUGUCAACUGCCAACCUCUCAGACCAAGGCUUGGGACUUUGCCAUAUGGGAUGCCUUUGAUUACAGUGGGGGUCACUAUGAACGAGGAUUGCAGAGUUGUUCAGAGGAGAUUAAAAACCUGCCCCAUCAGGCAGCCAGUGCAUGCCCAAGCCAAGAAGAAAGCUAAGAGUCUCCACUCCCACUUUAUGAUCUAACCACUAGACUGAGCUCCUGUUACUUGACAAAAAUGAUUUGCUUUUAAUUAAAAUAGGAGCA
rnacentral:lncRNA from 1 species